rnacentral:rRNA from 1 species
CUUUUAUGGAGAGUUUGAUCCUGGCUCAGGACGAACGCUGGCGGCGUGCCUAAUACAUGCAAGUCGAGCGAACAGAG